GAUGAACGCUAGCUACAGGCUUAACACAUGCAAGUCGAGCGCCCGGCGCACGGGUGUGUAACACGUAUCCCACCUGCCCUUUACUCGGGGAUAGCCUUUCGCAAGAACGAUUAAUACCCGAUAUAAAGGAUGCGGAUGCGUUCCCUUAGGUUGUUGGUAAGGUAACGGCUAACCAAGCCUUCGAUGGCUAGGCGUUCUGAGAGGAAGGUACCCGACAAUGGAGCUGAGACACGGUCCAAACUGCGACGGGGGGCAGGAGUAAGGAAUAUGGGUCAAUGGGCGCUAGCCUGAACCAGCCAAGUAGCGUGAAGGAUGAAGGCUUAGGGGUCGUAAACUACGUUUAUAUAAGAAGAUGUAUUAUAUGAAUAAGGAUCGGCUAACUCCGUGCCAGCAGCCGCGGUAAUAC
rnacentral:rRNA from 1 species